rnacentral:tRNA from 1 species
GGACCUUUAGCUCAGGUGGUUAGAGCGCACGCCUGAUAAGCGUGAGGUCGGUGGUUCGAGUCCUACUCGGCCCA